GCGACGUGAUGAUCGAAAUUCAAUGGUCUCUCAAUCCGAUGAUAUAAUUUGUUGUUACAUAUAAGUUUCGACAAGUUGUGAUCGC